GUUUAUUCCUUCUGCAGAGUGUGGAUUAUGCCCUGGCCAUGUCCUCAUGUUUCCCAACGGCUGGGAGUCAGAAAUUGAGUGACCUGGGAGCACCUUUGUUGUGCCAUCUAUAGCAAAAAGACACUUGGGUGCAAGUGGGAAUCUUGAGUCACUUUGAGGAGCAUUGCACAAAGCCCUAUGUCUUCAGCCAAGUGCACCCUUUCCUUUUCUGGCUCCAGGAAGUGACAUGGCCUAGCCAUGCAUCCUGGCACCACCAAGGGCCCGUGACUGCCUCUGCUUCCAUGUCCCUUUCAGUCUCUACCUCUACAAAUGCCUCAGCUUUUACCUCCACUCCCAAUUCCAUUCGGCCACACUACAUCUCUCUGCCACAGCCUCAGAGAAUCCUGAAGACACUGCUGUGAUUAUUGGCCUGACGCACCCUGUGGUACCACUGAGAGUUGUGAAGUUGUCUACCAUUCUACUGCAUGAGUUGCAGUAGAACCCCUGGCUGGUGAGAGGGGCAGCAAGAAAUGACCUGACAUUGCUACUCCUCCAAGAUGUCCAGACUACCAUUCGGCUCUUAGUACCCUUAGGGAGUCAGUGUGUCCAGGAAGUGACAUUAUCUGCAGACCAAUACUGGCAAUGGCAGUUGGAGACAAAUAGGCUUCACCAGUCUCAAAGCCCUACCUACUACAAUGAGUCCACACUUCUCCUGGAUUUUAUCUACUUCAGCAAAAGAAGGCCACCCACCAAACCAGGCCAUUGUGCUUUGGGUGGAAACUCCUAAGUCCUAUAGUCUCCUUAAACAGCCAACCACACUGCCACUUUCCUCAAUAAUUACUGCAGCCCUGAGACUUUGGUAGCCUAGUAACUAUAACUACUGAUGCUACAGUCUGGUCACAGUAUGAUAAAACACCAGAGCAACAAAAACAAAAAUAUUGACUUAAGCCUUCUAAAAUCUCUCUAAAUAUACCUUCAAUAAAUAUGUUUUUUUCUACAGAACAACUGCUUUCUACUUCCUGAACUAACGUUUGGCCUUGGAUUUUUCUCAUUGUUGAAAUUGAUUCAAAAGUAUACAUUUAACAUGAAGGUGAUUAUAGAAUUUCAUGUGUCAGCAACUAAAAUUUUCAAAAUGAU
rnacentral:lncRNA from 1 species